rnacentral:rRNA from 1 species
UACGGAGGGUGCAAGCGUUGUCCGGAAUCACUGGGCGUAAAGGGCGCGUAGGCGGCUCAUGAAGGCUGUGGUGAAAGUCCGGGGCUCAACCUCGGAUCGGCCGUGGCGACUCGUGGGCUGGAGCACUGUAGAGGCGGGUGGAAUUCCGGGUGUAGCGGUGGAAUGCGUAGAGAUCCGGAAGAACACCAGUGGCGAAGGCGGCCCGCUGGGCAGUGGCUGACGCUGAGGCGCGACAGCGUGGGGGAGCGAACAGG